UACGUAGGGUGCAAGCGUUAAUCGGAAUUACUGGGCGUAAAGGGCUCGUAGGCGGCCAACUAAGUCAUACGUGAAAUCCCCCGGCUUAACCGGGGAACUGCGUCUGAUACUGGAUGGCUUGAGUUCGGGAGAGGGAUGCGGAAUUCCAGGUGUAGCGGUGAAAUGCGGUAGAAUAUCUGGAGGAACACCGGUGGCGAAGGCGG
rnacentral:rRNA from 1 species